GACGAACGCUGGCGGCGUGCUUAACACAUGCAAGUCGAACGGAAAGGCCCUGCUUUUGUGGGGUGCUCGAGUGGCGAACGGGUGAGUAACACGUGAGUAACCUGCCCUUGACUUUGGGAUAACUUCAGGAAACUGGGGCUAAUACCGGAUAGGAGCUCCUGCUGCAUGGUGGGGGUUGGAAAGUUUCGGCGGUUGGGGAUGGACUCGCGGCUUAUCAGCUUGUUGGUGGGGUAGUGGCUUACCAAGGCUUUGACGGGUAGCCGGCCUGAGAGGGUGACCGGCCACAUUGGGGCUGAGAUACGGCCCAGACUCCUACGGGAGGCAGCAGUGGGGAAUAUUGCACAAUGGGCGGAAGCCUGAUGCAGCAACGCCGCGUGCGGGAUGACGGCCUUCGGGUUGUAAACCGCUUUCGCCUGUGACGAAGCGUGAGUGACGGUAAUGGGUAAAGAAGCACCAGCUAACUACGUG
rnacentral:rRNA from 1 species